GCAGUAGGGAAUAUUGGGCAAUGGGCGAGAGCCUGACCCAGCCAUGCCGCGUGCAGGAAGAAGGCUUUCUGAGUCGUAAACUGCUUUUGACAGGGAAGAAUAAGCGCUACGUGUAGCGUGAUGACGGUACCUGCAGAAUAAGCACCGGCUAACUCCGUGCCAGCAGCCGCGGUAAUACGGAGGGUGCGAGCGUUGUCCGGAUUUAUUGGGUUUAAAGGGUGCGUAGGCGGCCCGUUAAGUCCGGGGUGAAAGCCCGUUGCUCAACAACGGAACUGCCCUGGAUACUGACGGGCUUGAGUACAGACGAGGUUGGCGGAAUGGACAGAGUAGCGGUGAAAUGCAUAGAUACUGUCCAGAACCCCGAUUGCGAAGGCAGCUGACUAGGCUGUUACUGACGCUGAGGCACGACAGCGUGGGGAGCGAACAGGAUUAGA
rnacentral:rRNA from 1 species